GUAUUUGAUCUAAAAAUGAUUACUAAUUUCGACUUAGUAAACUUUGGUUAAAAUCCAAAAAUACU
rnacentral:tRNA from 2 species